rnacentral:rRNA from 1 species
GGCCUACCAUGGUGGUAACGGGUAACGGGGUGUUAGGGCACGACACCGGAGAGGGAGCCUGAGAAACGGCUACCACAUCCAAGGAUGGCAGCAGGCGCGCAAAUUACCCAAUCCCGACACGGGGAGGUAGUGACAAUAAAUAACAAUACGGGGUUCUUUUGGAUCUCGUAAUUGGAAUGAGUACAAUUUAAAUCUCUUAACGAGGAACAAUUGGAGGGCAAGUCUGGUGCCAGCAGCCGCGGUAAUUCCAGCUCCAAUAGCGUAUAUUAAAGUUGUUGCAGUUAAAAAGCUCGUAGUUGAAUUUCGAGACCGGCUUACUGGUCGUGCUAUUGUACGUACUGGUAUAAUCGGUUUCUCCUUUCUGACGAACUAUAAUGCCAUUAAUUUGGUGUUAUAGGGAAUCGGGACUGUUACUUUGAAAAAAUUAGAGUGUUUAAAGCAGGCUCACGCUUGAAUACAUUAGCAUGGAAUAACGGAAUAGGACGUUUGAUUCUAUUUUGUUGGUUUCUAGGAUCGACGUAAUGAUUAAUAGGGAUAGUUGGGGGCAUUAGUAUUCAAUUGUCAGAGGUGAAAUUCUUGGAUUUAUUGAAGACUAACUACUGCGAAAGCAUUUGCCAAGGAUGUUUUCAUUAAUCAAGAACGAAAGUUAGGGGAUCGAAGACGAUCAGAUACCGUCGUAGUCUUAACCAUAAACUAUGCCGACUAGGGAUCGGAUGAUGUUAAUUUUUUAAUGACUCAUUCGGCGCCUUACG